rnacentral:rRNA from 1 species
GGAAAGUAACUAGCAGCGAAGAACAAGUUGGAGCGGAUGACGGGAGCUUGCUCCUUGAUUCAGCGGCGGAGGGGUGAGUAAUGCCUAGGAAUCUGCCUGGUAGUGGGGGACAACGUUUCGAAAGGAACGCUAAUACCGCAAACGUCCUACGGGAGAAAGCAGGGGACCUUCGGGCCUUGCGCUAUCACAUGAGCCUAGGUCGGAUUAGCUAGUUGGUGGGGUAAUGGCUCACCAAGGCGACGAUCCGUAACUGGUCUGAGAGGAUGAUCAGUCACACUGGAACUGAGACACGGUCCAGACUCCUACGGGAGGCAGCAGUGGGGAAUAUUGGACAAUGGGCGAAAGCCUGAUCCAGCCAUGCCGCGUGUGUGAAGAAGGUCUUCGGAUUGUAAAGCACUUUAACUUGGGAGGAAGGGCAGUAAGUUAAUACCUUGCUGUUUUGACGUUACCGACAGAAUAAGCACCGGCUAACUCUGUGCCAGCAGCCGCGGUAAUACAGAGGGUGCAAGCGUUAAUCGGAAUUACUGGGCGUAAAGCGCGCGUAGGUGGUUCGUUAAGUUGGAUGUGAAAGCCCCGGGCUCAACCUGGGAACUGCAUCCAAAACUGGCGAGCUAGAGUACGGUAGAGGGUGGUGGAAUUUCCUGUGUAGCGGUGAAAUGCGUAGAUAUAGGAAGGAACACCAGUGGCGAAGGCGACCACCUGGACUGAUACUGACACUGAGGUGCGAAAGCGUGAGGAGCAAACAGGAUUAGAUACCCUGGUAGUCCACGCCGUACACGAUGUCAACUAGCCGUUGGAAUCCUUGAGAUUUUAGUGGCGCAGCUAACGCAUUAAGUUGACCGCCUGGGGAGUACGGCCGCAAGGUUAAAACUCAAAUGAAUUGACGGGUGCCCGCACACGCGGUGGAGCAUGUGGUUUAAUUCUAAGCAACGCGAAGAACCUUACCAGGCCUUGACAUGCAGAGAACUUUCCAGAGAUGGAUUGGUGCCUUCGGGAACUCUGACACAGGUGCUGCAUGGCUGUCGUCAGCUCCUGUCCUGAGAUGUGGGGUUAAGUCCCGUAACCAGCGCAACCCUUGUCCUUAUUUCCAGCACCUAAUGGUGG